AGUGAACGCUGGCGGUAGGCCUAACACAUGCAAGUCGAACGGCAGCACAGUAAGAGCUUGCUCUUACGGGUGGCGAGUGGCGGACGGGUGAGGAAUACAUCGGAAUCUACUUUUUCGUGGGGGAUAACGUAGGGAAACUUACGCUAAUACCGCAUACGACCUACGGGUGAAAGCAGGGGAUCUUCGGACCUUGCGCGAUUGAAUGAGCCGAUGUCGGAUUAGCUAGUUGGCGGGGUAAAGGCCCACCAAGGCGACGAUCCGUAGCUGGUCUGAGAGGAUGAUCCGCCACACUGGAACUGAGACACGGUCCAGACUCCUACGGGAGGCAGCAGUAGGGAAUAUUGGGCAAUGGGCGCAAGCCUGAUCCAGCCAUGCCGCGUGAGUGAUGAAGGUCUUCGGAUUGUAAAGCCCUUUUAUUGGGAAAGAAAAGCAGCAGAUGAAUACCCCGCUGUUCUGACGGUACCCAAACAGUAAGCACCGGCUAACUACGUG
rnacentral:rRNA from 1 species